CAGUCGCCACGGUAAUACGUAGGUGGCAAGCGUUGUCCGGAAUUAUUGGGCGUAAAGGGCUCGCAGGCGGUUUCCUAAGUCUGAUGUGAAAGCCCCCGGCUCAACCGGGGAGGGUCAUUGGAAACUGGGAAACUUGAGUGCAGAAGAGGAGAGUGGAAUUCCACGUGUAGCGGUGAAAUGCGUAGAGAUGUGGAGGAACACCAGUGGCGAAGGCGACUCUCUGGUCUGUCACUGACGCUGAGGCUCGAAAGCGUGGGUAGCGAACAGGAUUAGAUACCCCGGUAGUCCCUGUCUCUUAUAC
rnacentral:rRNA from 1 species